GAGUUUGAUCCUGGCUCAGGACGAACGCUGGCGGCGCGCUUAACACAUGCAAGUCGAGCGAGAACCAGCCCUUCGGGGCUGGGGAAAGCGGCGAACGGGUGAGUAACACGUGGGUAAUCUGCCCUCGGCACCGGAAUAGCCCGGGGAAACCCGGAUUAAUGCCGGAUGGCCUCUCGAGUCUUUGGACUCGUGAGAAAAGGUAGCUUCGGCCUCUGGCCGAGGAGGAGCCCGCGGCGGAUUAGCUUGUUGGUGGGGU
rnacentral:rRNA from 1 species